UAGCGGCGGACGGGUGAGUAACACGUGGGUAACCUGCCCAAGAGAUCGGGAUAACACCUGGAAACAGAUGCUAAUACCGGAUAACAACAGAUGAUGCCUAUCAACUGUUUAAAAGAUGGUUCUGCUAUCACUCUUGGAUGGACCUGCGGUGCAUUAGCUAGUUGGUAGGGUAACGGCCUACCAAGGCGAUGAUGCAUAGCCGAGUUGAGAGACUGAUCGGCCACAUUGGGACUGAGACACGGCCCAA
rnacentral:rRNA from 1 species